rnacentral:rRNA from 1 species
UCACAUACUCGUACCACCCUGAACACGCCUGAUGGUGGGAGCUGAGCAGAGUCAGACCUGGUUAGUACUCAGAUGGGAGACCACCUGGGAAGACCAGGUACUACAAGCC